rnacentral:lncRNA from 1 species
CUACUCCUAAUAACCGAGAAAAAUACCCCAAGCUCUCUCCCUCUCCACUCUCCAUCCUCCAUAUUUUAUCCACACGGCUUCGGCCACCACACACGGCUCCAGUUGUCCAGUUCACACCAUAAAUACAUCUCCGUACCGUUUUGUUAGCUAUUGUUUUCCUACAAACACUCGAACUAAUUUAGGCAUCGGAGAGCCUUUGGCCAACACCCCCGAGUGUGGUAUAUUUACUCUAGUCUUUUUU